rnacentral:ncRNA from 1 species
GGUAGUAGCAAAUAUUCGAGCGAGAACCUCGAAGGCCGAAGUGGAGAAGGGUUCCGCGUUGCUCCUUCGAUCGGCCGCGGGUUAGUCGGUCCUAAGGCCUGGGAGAAAUCCUACGGGAAGCGGGACGUUUUUGAAAAUCAUUAAAAAUCAGUCUCACCCAAUGCACGGGCCGAAAGGGAAACGGGUUAGGAUUCCCGUACCCGAAGGCGGAGCACAAGCGGCGACGCANAGAAGGUCGGAUACACCGUCGGGAGAGUCGAGAAGAGUUAACUUUUCUUUUUGAGGUGCGCUCGCUGACCCUGGAAGCGGUUCUGCCGGAGAUAGGGAGCGAGAGCAAUCAACUUUAUCCGCAAAGCCGGCUCCAGCGGGGGCCUGUUCGGCUACGACUCGACGGUCCUUGAAACUCCGACGGCUAAACUCUUUCUUUUUUUAUUUUGAAAUAAUGUGUUCGCUCUCGCCUCGGGCCGUACCUCAAUCCGCCGCAGGUCUCCAAGGUUCGCAGCCUCUGGUC